ACGGAGGGUGCAAGCGUUAUUCGGAAUUACUGGGCGUAAAGCGCGCGCAGGCGGUUUGGUAAGUCAGAUGUGAAAUCCUAGUGCUUAACCUUAGAACUGCCAUUGAUACUGUCAGGCUAGAGUAUAGUAGAGGGGGGUGGAAUUCCUGGUGUAGCGGUGAAAUGCGUAGAUAUCUGGAGGAACACCGGUGGCGAAGGCAGCUCCCUGGACUAAAACUGACGCUCAGGCGCGAAAGCGUGGGGAUCAAACAG
rnacentral:rRNA from 1 species